UGACCUCAAAUCAGGUAGGAAUACCCGCUGA
rnacentral:rRNA from 1 species